rnacentral:rRNA from 1 species
AACAAACGCUGGCGGCGUGCAUAACACAUGCAAGUCUAACGGGAAAGUUGGCUUCGGCUGGCGAGUACCGUGGCGAACGGGUGAGUAACACGUGGGUAAUCUGACCUCGAGUUUGGGAUAACCUUGCGAAAGCGGGGCAAAUACCGAAUAAGACCACGCUCAGUUCGUUGGGUGCGGUAAAAGGCGGCCUCUUCAUGAAAGCUGUCACUUGAGGAUGAGCCCGCGGCCUAUUAGCGAGUUGGUGGGGUAAUGGCCUACCAAGGCGACGAUGGGUAGCCGGCCUGAGAGGGUGUACGGCCACACUGGCACUGAGAUACGGGCCAGACUCCUACGGGAGGCAGCAGUGGGGAAUUUUGCGCAAUGGGGGAAACCCUGACGCAGCAACGCCGCGUGAGUGAUGAAGGCCUUCGGGUCGUAAAGCUCUUUUAGUGGGGAAGAAUCCCUUUUGGGCUAAUAUCCUGGGAUGAUGACGGUACCCACAGAAAAAGUUCCGGCUAACUACGUGCCAGCCGCCGCAGUAAAAC